AUUUUUAUUAAUAAGGUAGUAUGAACUUUUACAAAAACCUCUCAUUAACUGGCGGCAUUUCAUCCCCUCAGAGGAACAUGUUUUUUAAUCGAUAAUACACGUUUAUUCCCACUUAAUUUUAAAUUUUAUAUACCUCCAUCCAAAGUUUAUUAUAAAAUAUUCUUAAAAUAAAACUCUUAAAGGUUAGGUAAAGGUGUAAAAUAUAUUUAAGUUAAAAUGUGUUACAUUAAAUAUAAUUUAAGGAAUCUUACUAAAAAUUUUAAAGAAAAAGGAUUUAACAGUAUAUUUUUUUUAAUAUAAUAAAUCGAACAGGAAAAUUAAUGUGU
rnacentral:rRNA from 1 species